UACGUAGGUGGCAAGCGUUGUCCGGAAUUAUUGGGCGUAAAGCGCGCGCAGGCGGUUCCUUAAGUCUGAUGUGAAAGCCCACGGCUCAACCGUGGAGGGUCAUUGGAAACUGGAGAACUUGAGUACAGAAGAGGAAAGCGGAAUUCCACGUGUAGCGGUGAAAUGCGUAGAGAUGUGGAGGAACACCAGUGGCGAAGGCGGCUUACUGGACACAUAUUGACGCUGAGGUGCGAAAGCGUGGGGAGCAAACAGG
rnacentral:rRNA from 1 species